rnacentral:lncRNA from 1 species
UGAUGGGGACAUCAGCUAGGUCCCCAUUUUAUUUGCAUAUUUGCUUAUUGUUAUUUCUGGGUUUAUUUGUGUUUAGGGAUUUAUUUGUGGUUUAUUUUAUUCUGGGCUUAUUUUCAUUUUAGGGCUUAUUUGUGGGGAAUUAUUUUAUGUAAGGGGUUUAUUUUAAUUGUUCUUAUGGGGCCCUAUUUAAAGGGAACUUGUAAGCUGAUUAGGGUUUUAAUGCAGAAUUAAAGAAUUUCUUCC